rnacentral:rRNA from 1 species
GGGUUGUGAGGUUAAGCGACUAAGCGUACACGGUGGAUGCCCUGGCAGUCAGAGGCGAUGAAGGACGUGCUAAUCUGCGAAAAGCGUCGGUAAGGUGAUA